rnacentral:tRNA from 1 species
UCCACAGUAGCUCAGUGGUAGAGCUAUCGGCUGUUAACCGAUCGGUCGUAGGUUCGAGUCCUACCU